AACGCGUGAAAAUUGUCCGCCUGGGGGAGUACGGUCGCAAGAUUAAAACUCAAAGGAAUUGACGGGGACCGCACAAGCGGUGGAUGAUGUGGAUUAAUUCGAUGCAACGCGAAGAACCUUAACUGGUCUUGACAUGUACGGAAUCUUUCAGAGACGGAAGAGUGCCUUCGGGAGCCGUAACACAGGUGCUGCAUGGCUGUCGUCAGCUCGUGUCGUGAGAUGUUGGGUUAAGUCCCGCAACGAGCGCAACCCUUGUCAUUAGUUGCCAUCAUUCAGUUGGGCACUCUAAUGAGACUGCCGGUGACAAACCGGAGGAAGGUGGGGAUGACGUCAAGUCCUCAUGGCCCUUAUGACCAGGGCUUCACACGUCAUACAAUGGUUGGUACAGAGGGUAGCCAAGCCGCGAGGCGGAGCCAAUCUCAGAAAGCCAAUCGUAGUCCGGAUUGCACUCUGCAACUCGAGUGCAUGAAGUCGGAAUCGCUAGUAAUCGCAGGUCAGCAUACUGCGGUGAAUACGUUCCCGGGUCUUGUACACACCGCCCGUCACACCAUGGGAGUGGGGGAUACCAGAAUUGGGUAGGCUAACCGCGAGGAGGCCGCUUAACACGGUAUGCUUCAUGACUGGGGUGAAGUCGUAACAAGGUAACCGUAAAUCGA
rnacentral:rRNA from 1 species